GUUAAGGGCACGUUGUAUACGCUUCAAAAUCGUUUGACUUUAACUAAAACAAACACCCCAUUUGUGUAACGUCACAGACACUCCGAAUGCACGGAUUAUCGUUCCAGAUACGACCGGGACACGUCUCAAAUACGUUCAAUAACAUUUUUUCCUUCGUAGCGUACAUUCCAUCUACGUAAGACAAACGCCAACAUACCCCGAUUAACACUUAAGUACGCUUCUCGCAUGCUCAAUACACGCUUUAAGCUCGUUGUGCACACGAUACAGAUAUGAUUGACAAGUUGAAUGCAUCCAAAAUUACUAGCGUAUUGGUAGCGUGCAUGAUUUUUUACCACGGCAAACGUACGUCGGAGCUAUACGUUGAUGUGUGACGUUCCAGUAAACAAUCAAUGUCAGUUUCUUAUUCUUAUACAACAAAAGUAAUAUAAAACAAUACAUCUUUAUUAAACAAUUAUCUAAUAUAUACAUGUAAUGCCAAAC
rnacentral:lncRNA from 1 species